CCUACGGGAGGCAGCAGUGAGGAAUAUUGGUCAAUGGGCUAAGGCCUGAACCAGCCAAGUCGCGUGAGGGAAGACGGUCCUAUGGAUUGUAAACCUCUUUUGUCGGGGAGCAACGAGGCCACGUGUGGCCGAAGUGAGAGUACCCGAAGAAAAAGCAUCGGCUAACUCCGUGCCAGCAGCCGCGGUAAUACGGAGGAUGCGAGCGUUAUCCGGAUUUAUUGGGUUUAAAGGGUGCGUAGGCGGGACCUUAAGUCAGCGGUAAAAUUGCGGUGCUCAACGCCGUAGAGCCGUUGAAACUGGGGCUCUUGAGUGAGCGAGAAGUAUGCGGAAUGCGUGGUGUAGCGGUGAAAUGCAUAGAUAUCACGCAGAACCCCGAUUGCGAAGGCAGCAUACCGGCGCUCAACUGACGCUGAGGCACGAAAGUGCGGGUAUCGAACAGGAUUAGAUACCCGGGUAGUC
rnacentral:rRNA from 1 species